GAGCUCAGAUUUGGAAUCGUGUUUCGGCACGAGUUGUAAAUUGCAGGUUGGAGUCUUUGUGGAAGCGUGUGUCCAAGUCCCUUGGAACAGGGCGCCAUUGAGGGUGAGAGCCCCGUGGGAUGCGCGCGGAAGCAACAAGGCCCUUCUGACGAGUCGAGUUGUUUGGGAAUGCAGCUCUAAGCGGGUGGUAAAUUCCAUCUAAGGCUAAAUACUGGCGAGAGACCGAUAGCGAACAAGUACUGUGAAGGAAAGAUGAAAAGCACUUUGAAAAGAGAGUGAAACAGCACGUGAAAUUGUUGAAAGGGAAGGGUAUUGGGCCCGACAUGGGGAUUGCGCAUCUCUGCUUCUUGUGGGCGGGGCGCUGUGCUUUUCCUGGGCCAGCAUCGGUUUUUGCCGCAGGAGAAGGGGUACUGGAAUGUGGCUCCUCGGAGUGUUAUAGCCAGUGCCAGAUGCUGCGUGCGGGGACCGAGGGCUGCGACAUCUGUCUCGGAUGCUGGCACAACGGCGCAAUACCGCCCGUCUUGAACCACGGAC
rnacentral:rRNA from 1 species